rnacentral:rRNA from 1 species
GAUGAACGCUGGCGGCGUGCCUAAUACAUGCAAGUAGAACGCUGAAGCUUGGUGCUUGCACCGAGCGGAUGAGUUGCGAACGGGUGAGUAACGCGUAGGUAACCUGCCUCUUAGCGGGGGAUAACUAUUGGAAACGAUAGCUAAUACCGCAUAAAAGUCGAUAUCGCAUGAUAUUGAUUUGAAAGGUGCAAAUGCAUCACUAAGAGAUGGACCUGCGUUGUAUUAGCUAGUUGGUGAGGUAACGGCUCACCAAGGCGACGAUACAUAGCCGACCUGAGAGGGUGAUCGGCCACACUGGGACUGAGACACGGCCCAGACUCCUACGGGAGGCAGCAGUAGGGAAUCUUCGGCAAUGGGGGCAACCCUGACCGAGCAACGCCGCGUGAGUGAAGAAGGUUUUCGGAUCGUAAAGCUCUGUUGUAAGAGAAGGACGAGUGUGAGAGUGGAAAGUCCACACUGUGACGGUAACUUACCAGAAAGGGACGGCUAACUACGUGCCAGCAGCCGCGGUAAUACGUAGGUCCCGAGCGUUAUCCGGAUUUAUUGGGCGUAAAGCGAGCGCAGGCGGUUAGAUAAGUCUGAAGUUAAAGGCUGUGGCUUAACCAUAGUACGCUUUGGAAACUGUUUAACUUGAGUGCAGAAGGGGAGAGUGGAAUUCCAUGUGUAGCGGUGAAAUGCGUAGAUAUAUGGAGGAACACCGGUGGCGAAAGCGGCUCUCUGGUCUGUAACUGACGCUGAGGCUCGAAAGCGUGGGGAGCAAACAGG